AGGAAAGUCUAGUCCCUUAUAAACAAACGCACGGCGUUGUGAAUACGAUAACGUUAGCGCUUAGGCAAGCGAGUGAGAUAAUAGAUUUUGUUUCUCUCGCAACGAGAACGAAGGCGUUCGCCCCUCCGAGGUUUGCUUGAGGAUAAGGUUUAAUAUAUUGAAUGUCGCUUGAUUUUAUCCAGAAAAACUGCCGCGGGGUGGCUGUUUCCACUCAUACUAAACUUAGCUUACCGCU
rnacentral:RNase_P_RNA from 1 species